rnacentral:rRNA from 1 species
AUUGAACGCUGGCGGCAUGCCUUACACAUGCAAGUCGAACGGUAACAGGUCUUCGGAUGCUGACGAGUGGCGAACGGGUGAGUAAUACAUCGGAACGUGCCCGAUCGUGGGGGAUAACGGAGCGAAAGCUUUGCUAAUACCGCAUACGAUCUACGGAUGAAAGCAGGGGACCGCAAGGCCUUGCGCGGACGGAGCGGCCGAUGGCAGAUUAGGUAGUUGGUGGGAUAAAAGCUUACCAAGCCGACGAUCUGUAGCUGGUCUGAGAGGACGACCAGCCACACUGGGACUGAGACACGGCCCAGACUCCUACGGGAGGCAGCUUUAGUGGGGAACCUUUUGGACAAUGGGCGCAAGCCUGAUCCAGCCAUGCCGCGUGCAGGAUGAAGGCCUUCGGGUUGUAAACUGCUUUUGUUACGGACGAAAGACUCUUUCUAAUUAAAGAAGGGUCCAUGACGGUACCGUAAGAAUAAGACCCCGGCUAACUACGUGCCAGCAGCCGCGGUAAU